GAAAUGCGAUAAGUAGUGUGAAUUGCAGAAUUCAGUGAAUCAUCGAAUCUUUGAACGCACAUUGCGCCCCUUGGUAUUCCAUGGGGCAUGCCUGUUCGAGCGUCAUCUACACCCUCAAGCUCUGCUUGGUGUUGGGCGUCUGUCCCCGCCUCCGCGCGCGGACUCGCCCCAAAUCCAUUGGCAGCGUCCCCUCGCCCCCCUCUCGCGCAGCACGAAUGCGCAUGACGAGGGAGCGGCUCCCGGGAUCGCGACCCACCCCCAAGAUGACCACCGUCUUUGACCUCGGAUCAGGUAGGGAUACCCGCUGAACUUAAGCA
rnacentral:misc_RNA from 1 species